AUUGAACGCUGGCGGCAGGCCUAACACAUGCAAGUCGAGCGAGUGGCGGACGGGUGAGUAAUGUAUGGGGAACUGCCCGAUGGAGGGGGAUAACUACUGGAAACGGUAGCUAAUACCGCAUACCAUCAGAUGAACCCAUAUGGGAUUAGCUGGUAGGUGGGGUAACGGCUCACCUAGGCGACGAUCCCUCGCGGGUCUGAGAGGAUGACCAGCCACACUGGGACUGAGACACGGCCCAGACUCCUACGGGAGGCAGCAGUGGGGAAUAUUGCACAAUGGGCGCAAGCCUGAUGCAGCCAUGCCGCGUGUAUGAAGAAGGCCUUCGGGUUGUAAAGUACUUUCAGCCGGGAGGCGUUACCGACAGAAGAAGCACCGGCUAACUCCGUGCCAGCAGCCGCGGUAAUAC
rnacentral:rRNA from 1 species